AUCAGCUGAACCGCUGUACUGCUUGAGGGGGAUGUGAUCGGUGGGCGCAAGCGAAUUUAAAUGUAUCGUUGCGUGUUCUAGCGUAGAUUGUUUUAGUGAGAUAGAUUGUACUGUCGCGUCGUGCGUGAUUGUCAUGCUCCAGCCAUCAUUACGUUCGUUUUCUCAUUUUGGAAGAAUCUCGUGCAGGCAAGCCGACCUAGUCGCUCGCGCCGCAAAGCAAGAGCGGUUUCGUCUACAUCCUGCAUUUCGUUCCCUUGCUACGGAAGAACAGCACUCCCUUGCUACGGAAGAACAGCACCAAGUUUCUAAAAUGGCACGCCCAGAGAUCUACGUUGUUUCGAGAAUUCCACACCUCGCCGAACAUCUCCGACAAGCGGUCAAAGGUCGAGCCGAUGUCGUUGAGAUCGUCGCAAAAUUCACCGUGCACGAGGACUGUCCGAAGAUUAAACCGGAGGUUGUCAAAAAACUCCAAAGUGUUGAGAUCCUGAUCACGGAUACCCAUAUAUUAAAGGACAUACUCUACCAGCUACCAAAUAUGAAGCUGGUUCAAGUCACAUCUGCAGGUGUUGAAAAUCUCCUUCCGAAUAUCAAUAGAUCUCUGCCUGUUCCGACGUACACGAUUGUGAGGGCAAGCUGCUUUGGCAUCCUCAUGGGAGAAUAUGUUGUGGCUGGCAUCAUCAACUUUGAGCGAGGCCUGUAUAGGUAUUUCGAGCUGCAGAAGGCAAAGAGCUGGGAUGAUCUAAUAUCGCUGAACUUUAGGACCUUAUCGGACUUGCGUGUCGCGAUCCUUGGAGCCGGUGUCAUUGGUGAAGAGAUUGCCAAGUGUCUUGUUCAGUUUGGUGCUACAGUGAAUGGCUUCGCCAGGCGAAACAGGAACUCUGAAGAACUGCGGCGCUCAUCUUUUCAGAAUAUUUCUCCAGACCUUCACACGUUGAUCGAAGAUUGUCACUACCUUGUCAACGCGCUCCCUAGCACCCCAAACACCGUGGGCCUCCUCAACGGGGAUGUCCUGAGGCAGUGUAAGAAUAGCCCCGUGUUCAUCAAUAUCGGUCGAGGAAAUGUCAUCGCCGAGGAGUGCCUGCUGAAUGCCUUGAAGAAUAAAUGGAUCUCAGGGGCCAUGCUUGAUGUCUUUGAAGUUGAGCCACUGCCCCAAUCAAGUCCUCUUUGGUCAACUCCUGACGUCAUUGUCACGCCCCACAUGUCUGGCCCCUCUAGGCCACAAGAGCGAAGGUGUAGACACUUGGACAUCUACCAAGCCCGGCUGAGAGCGAUGCGGAGGCAGAGACGUCACGUGAUCAGGGAGAGGACUCAAGCGCUGAGGGUGUGUUCGACGCUGACGGGUAGGGCUCAGCGGGGCACGGCUAGGACGAGGAACUUUUAUGACCUCGACUAGUGCUCUAUUUUCUUUCCCGGCAAGGCCGACGCAGAACGCCUACGUGGGGCGUGCGACAAGCUGAUGGGUCUGGUUGACCGCAACGGCGAAAUGUGGAAGGAGUUCUUCGACAGGGCCGAGGAAGCUGGUGCCAGGAUGGAGCGGAUCUGUGACACCCUCGUCAGUAUCGCCGAAGACAACGAGAAUAUGGUGGUGCAGUUUGGGCAAAGCGUACAGGCUGGCUGUUCCAGACACGAAUUACCAGAAGAGCCGGAGACUCCAUCGACCGAUUCGUCCACCGCCCUAUGACGUGGUCCC